rnacentral:rRNA from 1 species
AUGCCGGAUCUACCGGAUUAUCUAAUACCAUGACUAAAGAUGCAAUUCAAAUAUGUAGAGAAAGCAAGGGAAUUUUAUAACAGAUACGCCAGGCACGCUAGUUUUGGAAUCAGGAAGACGGGUGGAAAUGACAACCACAAGUAUUUUGUUUGCGCCUUACAAGGGAUACACACAUCUUCUGUUUCAGAGGCCAAUAGGAAGUGAAACAAAACAUCGCAGAGGACGGGCUGCAAUGCAAGAAUGAGGGUGAAGGUGCAGGAGGAUGACACAUGCGUGGCAGUGGACAUUGAGUACAAUCAUAAUCACCAGCUCAUGCAAACUGAUGACAUGCUGGUAUUUCACUCACACAAGAAUUAUGACCCCACUAUUCUGGAGUAUGUAAAGCUCCUGCAGUACCAUGAUGUCAAGCACACAACAAUCAUGUCCAUGCUAUCUGAAAAUGAAGAUGGAAGCUACUUCCUAAGCAUGACCGGACGAGACCUACUAAACCAGAAAUCUAUGAAUGCAAGGAAAGAUGAUUUGGAUGACGUAUUAAAACUUGUUUCAUUCUUCAAAGACAUGAAGGGAAUAAAUGAUGAGUUUUUCUAUGAUAUCCAAGUGGACAAGGACAAGUCAAUUAAAAACAUUUUCUGGUCCAAUGCAAGCUGCCGAGGAGCCUAUCAAGACUUCGGCGAUUGUGUAACAUUUGACACGACUUACAAGACCAACAGAUUUCAUAUGCCCCUGGGAGUGUUUGUUGGAACAAACCAUCACUUGCAGUCAACGAUAUUUGCUGUUGCCCUGAUAAGAGACGAAGAUGCAAAGUUAUUCAAGUGGUUGUUCGAUACAUUUCUAUGGUGCAUGAACAACAAGCACCCAACUUCCAUUCUAACAGACCAGUGCCCAUCGAUGGCGAAAGCUAUACCACAAUCAUUUCCAAACACCGUCCAUAAGCUAUGUCAUUGGCACAUAUUGAAGAAGUACAGGGAAUACCUCGCGUUGCUGUACAAAAAGUAUAAAACAUCCAAAGAGGAGUUCACAGCUAUAUUGAACUGGCCGCUGAUGCCAACGGAGUUUGAAGAUGUUUGGGCUGAACUCGUGCACAAGUACCACCUGGAGAACGACCAGAUGAUGAUGCAGCUCUGGAGUGAUAGGAAGAUGUGGAUUUCAGCAUAUUACAAGAACAUUUUCUGUGCUAGAAUGACUUCCACACAACGAAACAAGAGCAUGAACCACGUGCUAAAGAAAGGGUUUGUUAAGGGGACCCAGAACCUACACAAGUUUGCUAGGCGGGUCAAUGCUUGCAUACAAACUCGGAUGCAGAAGGAGAACGAGCAAACAAUGACCAGCAUGGUAUGA